CCUGUAUAGAGCCUGCAUGCCCUUCUUGUGCCUGCGUGGAUCUCCUCCAGGUACUCCAGUUACCUCUCACAGUCCAAAGACCUGCAGGCUAGGUUCAUUUGCAACUCUAAUUUUGAGCGUAAAUAGUUGUUUGUCUUUAGACUGGCGGCCUGUCCAGGGUGUACCCAGACUCUCACCCAGUGUCAGUGGGGAUUGGCUCCAACCCCUGUGAACCUGAAGGAUAAGUGAUACAGCUAAUGGAUGAAUGGAAGAAGAAAGAUGAGGUCUACAUGAUGACCUCAUUGCUGCAUCUGAAGACCACAAGCAGCACUGGCCCCAUAAGGCUAAGUCAAAGACAGAAUAUUCCCAGAAUGCAUUUCACAGGGGUCAGUAUGCUAAUUUUAGCACAGCAGCCAAUGGCAGUUCAGGAGUUGUGCUCCAGAUACAGACGGGGCUGGAUCGGGUUACGUGGCGGAGACACGAACAGUGUACGUGCUGUAAUAAAGAGCGGAUGGAGGACUGCACUGGACCCGUAAGACUGAUCCAUCACUCCCACCAUAUAUUCUGCCACCAGUGGAAGGAUGUAGCUUUGAAUGUCUUUUCCUUUGGGGCCACAGCACACAUCCUCCCUCUGUGCCUCACUGACAAAACUACCAGUGAAAGAAAGAGAGAGAAACUUCACAAAAACAUACAUUUAUUUGCCCUUCCAAGGCAAAGCAAGUGAAUCUACAGUGAGGAAUGUUCUCUGCAAAGCGUUAAAAAAAAUAUCAGAGUACAUACAGUAAUUGCUUAGGG